rnacentral:lncRNA from 1 species
GUGACAUUGGACAAUGCAAAAAUCGAUUUGGUUGAUUUACCAAAUAUUAAACUUAAAAAUUGUUUUCAAUGCAUGCGAAAUACGAGAGCAAACUUACGAAUUUGUUCAAAAUACUAAGUUUUCAUCUCUAUCAUCAAACAAAAUUGUUUUGAAGAACUUUUCUCAUUGUGCAUUAACUUGUCUCUCGAACGGAAAUUGUUGUGCCGC